AUGAGGAAGAGCUUCACAUCACAGAUAAAACAGACAAACACAUUUAUUUACACAGAUCCAGAAUCCAGACUUAAAAUCAGACUGAAAAGGUUUUUUUUUCUUUUUGCAUUUUGGUUUCAGAUUUAUCAAAGCAGCACAAUCAUUGUUGCAGUUAAAGGUUUUUUAGUGAGUUUCUUGGCCGCGGUAGUUUCUCCUGCACACUUAACAGCCUGUACUCAUUCCCAGGUGUCCAACCUGCUGCGGGGCUCUGGAGGACACUCUCAGUAAAGAGUCCCUCUGACGUCACCACGAGGCGAACAUUAAAGAGCCUCAUUAGAGAGAGCGGAUCUCACCGAGGCGUGGCCUUUAGGGGACCCAGAGUCCAGGAUGAACCCACUGUUAUGAAACCCUGUCUCAUUAUAAACCGUUCCUGAACUUUAAUCUGAGCCGUAAUUCAGAGAGUAAAGUGGAUUUUAUUCUGAGGGAUCGUCUCUUUAUUGAACUCUAUCCAUGAACAGGCUCUGAACUGGGAACCAGUCGCAGCAGAGCGACGUGCUGCUGCUGGCGUGUCACUCUGACAUGUUGACGUGUUUCGUGUGCGUGUUGACACGUAAGCUGUGGGGUCCCACACACACACACAAACACACACACACACACACACACACACACACACACACACACACACACACUCACAUACAGUAGUAAAUCACAGAUGGUGCGUUCGGGGCUCCGUGUGUGGGCUCGUUGCUCCUCCAGCAGCAUUAUUUAAGGCCGGCGAGUGGGCGGCUUCCAACACUCGUCUGCCUUCAUUGACUGGGAGGAAAAAAAGGUUAAAAGCUUUUUAUCUCAUUCAUCAAACGAACACAACAACGUUUGUUCAGAUCUCAUUUACAUUACAAAAAUGUUCCUGAUGUGUUUUAUCCUGAUAACAUGGAUUCAGCUCUUUAUGUGGAGAACCACAGAACGGUAAAGAUUAGCCCGAGGCAAUGUGGGAUUAAGAGGCUUAUAACAGCACCAUACAUUCAUUACUGCGUGGAGAUUAGGAGGAAGGAGGAAGGAGGGGGUAUACAGGAAGAGGACGGACAGGUAGGGUGGACGAGGAGAGGAGAGGAGGGAACAAGGAAAGGAAAGAAAAAAGGGAAAGCUGAGAGGAUAUAAGGAAACAAGGACAGGAGAUGACGAAAGGAGCAACAAGGAGUGGAAAGGAAAGGAAGUUGAGUAGAGGAAACGAGAUGAGAGGACAAAACAAAGAAAGAAAUGGAGGAGAAAAGGCUGAAAACAGAGGAGGAGACAAGAGGAGAGGAAAUGAAAGAAGGAAACAAGGAAAGGCUGAAGGAAAGCUAAGAGGAGAUAAAGAAACGAGAGGAGAGGAGAGGACAAAACAAGGAAACAAGGACAGGAGAUGAGAAGGAGAUGAACAGAACAACAAGGAGUGGAAAGGAGGAAAUGAAAAGAGGACAAGAGGUAACAAGGAGAUAAAGGGAAGGAAAAAAGGACAGCUGAGAGGAGGAGAGGAUGAAACAAGGAAACAUGGACAAGAGAGGAGAUGAGGAGGAAAGGAGAAAAAAAGAAGAGGUGAAAAAGGAAAAAGAAGGAGAGGAGGAGACCCAAGAGGAGAAGAAAGAAAAGCAAAUCAGGAAGGAGAUGAGGAAACAAGAGAGGAGGAAUAAAGGGGAGAAGAGGAGAGGAACGGUGGAGGGAUGGAGAAAUAAAUACUGUAGCAUGAAAGAGGAGAGAGAGAGAUGGAGAGAUAAAAAAGGGAAAGAUCAGAGAUGCAGAUAAAAACUGGAGAAAAUCAGGAAAUCAGAGGAGGAGGGAGGAGAGGGGGAUGCUGUCUCUGCAGAGAUUUGGCAGAAGCAGAAAAAGAGGAGAAGAGCAGCAGAAAGACACAGCGGGGAGGAAAAGGAGGAGGAAGAGGAGGGAGAGGAGGAGGAGGUGAACUCCAAAAUAAAAGCGUGAAGAGAGCGACAGAGAGGACGUGACUCAGAUGGUUCAUUACGUCGUUAUUAUUGUUGUUGUUGUUGUUGUUGUUGUUGUUAUUAGUGUGAGCUGUAAUACACACUGAUACAUUGUUCAAACUGAUCACAGCAAACAUUUAAAGUUACACAGAUUUGAAGUGACACUAACUUAGUUUUAUAGUUAAAGAAAUAUUAUUGAUUUAGUGCUUUUAAGUAGAUAUU
rnacentral:lncRNA from 15 species